rnacentral:rRNA from 1 species
CCAGACUCCUACGGGAGGCAGCAGUGGGGAAUUUUGGACAAUGGGCGCAAGCCUGAUCCAGCCAUGCCGCGUGUCUGAAGAAGGCCUUCGGGUUGUAAAGGACUUUUGUUAGGGAAGAAAAGGAUAGUGUUAAUACCAUUAUCUGCUGACGGUACCUAAAGAAUAAGCACCGGCUAACUACGUGCCAGCAGCCGCGGUAAUACGUAGGGUGCGAGCGUUAAUCGGAAUUACUGGGCGUAAAGCGAGCGCAGACGGUUUAUUAAGCAAGAUGUGAAAUCCCCGAGCUUAACUUGGGAACUGCGUUUUGAACUGGUAAGCUAGAGUAUGUCAGAGGGGGGUAGAAUUCCACGUGUAGCAGUGAAAUGCGUAGAGAUGUGGAGGAAUACCGAUGGCGAAGGCAGCCCCCUGGGAUAAUACUGACGUUCAUGCUCGAAAGCGUGGGUAGCAAACAGGAUUAGAUACCCUGGUAGUCCACGCCCUAAACGAUGUCAAUUAGCUGUUGGGGCACUUGAUGCCUUAGUAGCGAAGCUAACGCGUGAAAUUGACCGCCUGGGGAGUACGGUCGCAAGAUUAAAACUCAAAGGAAUUGACGGGGGCCCGCACAAG